rnacentral:rRNA from 1 species
AUACGGAGGGUGCGAGCGUUGUUCGGAAUUACUGGGCGUAAAGGGCGCGCAGGCGACUUGAUAAGUCAGAUGUGAAAGCCCACGGCUCAACCGUGGAAGUGCGUCUGAAACUGUCUGGCUUGAGUACUGGAGAGGAAAGUGGAAUUCCUGGUGUAGAGGUGAAAUUCGUAGAUAUCAGGAGGAACACCGGUGGCGAAGGCGACUUUCUGGACAGAUACUGACGCUGAGGCGCGAAAGCGUGGGGAGCAAACAGGAUUAGAAACCCGGGUAGUCC